rnacentral:tmRNA from 1 species
GGGGGCGUAAAGGUUUCGACGGGGAAUCCGAGGCUAGGUAAGCGGGUAGAGUGGGCGAAAACUCUUAAAAAGUCGCACCUAAAUAUAAACGCUAAGAAUAAUAAUUCUCAGUUAGCUUUUGCUGCUUAAUUAAAGCGGCACGUCUGGCCGUGGGGGACCACGGACGCGGCUGGAUGUCCAAUGAGUGGUGAACGUUGCCUGGGGGUGCCUAGUCCCAGGUAAUGUACGAUAGGCUACCGCGGGGCGACUGUCUGUCCGCCGUCACGUCCCGCGGGAACCCUGACGACGGUCUGCACCCGGAGAAAGCUUAGUCAAAGGUUUUUCGGACGCGGGUUCAACUCCCGCCGCCUCCACCA